rnacentral:misc_RNA from 1 species
GUGAAUCAUCAAAUUUUUGAACGCAAAUUGCACUUUCUGGGAUGACGGAAGGUAUUCCUGUUUGAGGGUCAGAUAAAUAGAAAUCGGUGUUGUUGCUGCGUUUCGUGGUGAGGAGUCGGAAUUGAGUUGUCUUACCUUCGGUUAAGUGACUUAAAAUUUUGCAUGAUUUUCGUACGUAUUUAUAUUUCUUACGUAUGUAUGAGAUAUCGAAUACUAUUUUAAUUACAG